AUUGAACGCUGGCGGCAGGCCUAACACAUGCAAGUCGAACGAGUGGCGGACGGGUGAGUAAUGUCUGGGAAACUGCCCGAUGGAGGGGGAUAACUACUGGAAACGGUAGCUAAUACCGCAUACCAUCGGAUGUGCCCAGAUGGGAUUAGCUUGUAGGUGAGGUAACGGCUCACCUAGGCGACGAUCCCUAGCUGGUCUGAGAGGAUGACCAGCCACACUGGAACUGAGACACGGUCAAGACUCCUACGCGAGGCAGCAGUGGGGAAUAGUGCACAAUGGGCGCAAGCCUGAUGCAGCCAGGCCGCGUGUAUGAAGAAGGCCUGAGGGUUGUAAAGUACUUUCAGCGGGGAGGCGUUACCGGCAGAAGAAGCACCGGCUAACUCCGGGCCAGCAGCCGCGGUAAUUC
rnacentral:rRNA from 1 species